CAAUAGCGUAUAUUAAAGUUGUUGCAGUUAAAAAGCUCGUAGUUGGAUUUGUGGCGUACGGUGUGUUCCGGGCACUUGUUGUCUGAGUAACCUGCUGUUGCCAUCCUUGGGUGGAACCUGUGUGGCAUUAGGUUGUCGUGCAGGGGAUGCCCAUCAUUUACUGUGAAAAAAUUAGAGUGUUCAAAGCAGGCUUAUGCCGUUGAAUAUAUUAGCAUGGAAUAAUGAGAUAGGACUUUUUUGCUAUUUUGUUGGUUGCGCAAAGAGGUAAUGAUUAAUAGGGACAGUUGGGGGUAUUCGUAUUCCAUUGUCAGAGGUGAAAUUCUUGGAUUUUUGGAAGACGAACUACUGCGAAAGCAUUUACCAAGGAUGUUUUCAUUAA
rnacentral:rRNA from 1 species